GAUGAACGCUGGCGGCGUGCCUAAUACAUGCAAGUCGAGCGAACAGAUAAGGAGCUUGCUCCUUUGACGUUAGCGGCGGACGGGUGAGUAACACGUGGGUAACCUACCUAUAAGACUGGAAUAACUCCGGGAAACCGGGGCUAAUGCCGGAUAACAUUUAGAACCGCAUGGUUCUAAAGUGAAAGAUGGUUUUGCUAUCACUUAUAGAUGGACCCGCGCCGUAUUAGCUAGUUGGUAAGGUAACGGCUUACCAAGGCAACGAUACGUAGCCGACCUGAGAGGGUGAUCGGCCACACUGGAACUGAGACACGGUCCAGACUCCGACGGGGGGCAGCAGUAGGGAAUCUUCCGCAAUGGGCGAAAGCCUGACGGAGCAACGCCGCGUGAGUGAUGAAGGUCUUCGGAUCGUAAAACUCUGUUAUUAGGGAAGAACAAAUGUGUAAGUAACUGUGCACGUCUUGACGGUACUUAAUCAGAAAGCCACGGCUAACUACGUG
rnacentral:rRNA from 1 species